GAUGAACGCUGGCGGCGUGCCUAAUACAUGCAAGUCGAGCGAACGGACGAGAAGCUUGCUUCUCUGAUUUUAGCGGCGGACGGGUGAGUAACACGUGGAUAACCUACCUAUAAGACUGGGAUAACUUCGGGAAACCGGAGCUAAUACCGGAUGAUAUUUUGAACCGCAUGGUUCAAAAGUGAAAGACGGUCUUGCUUUCACUUAUAGAUGGAUCCGCGCUGCAUUAACUAGUUGGUAAGGUAACUGCUUACCAAGGCAACGAUGCAUAGCCGACCUGAGAGCGUGGUCGGCCAGACUGGAACUGAGACACGUUCCAGACUCAGACGGGAGGAAGCAGUAGGGAAUCUUACGCAAAGGGCGAAAGCCUGACGGAGCACCGCGGGGUGAGUGAUGAAGGUCUUCGGAUCGUAAAACUAUGUUAUUAGGGAAGAACAUAUGUGUAAGUAACUGUGAACAUCUUGACGGUACCUAAUCAGAAAGCCACGGCUAACUACGUG
rnacentral:rRNA from 1 species